UACGUAGGGGGCAAGCGUUGUCCGGAUUUAUUGGGCGUAAAGAGCGUGUAGGCGGCUUCACAGGUCCGCUGUGAAAACUCGAGGCUCAACCUCGAGCUGUCGGUGGAAACCGUGUUGCUAGAGUCCGGAAGAGGAGAGUGGAAUUCCCGGUGUAGCGGUGAAAUGCGCAGAUAUCGGGAAGAACACCCGUGGCGAAGGCGGCUCUCUGGGACGGUACUGACGCUGAGACGCGAAAGCGUGGGGAGCGAACAGG
rnacentral:rRNA from 1 species